UGGUGAUUUAUGGAAAUAAACCAAACACCAAACAUAUAUCUUUGAAUUACCUUGACUUUUUUUUUUAGCAUAUAAUAAAGGGGUCAUGAUGAACUGAGAAAUCAAAAUUUCUUUGAUCUUUUGAUCAAGAGGUCAUUUAACAAUAAAAACAUCCUGUAAGUUUCAGAACUCAAAACUUUCUUGUUGGUCUAAAAACAGCUUAUAUUGAAACUAAUCUGCCAAAGCGACAGCUUGUGGAAUGUGCCACUCUAUGAUGUAAUAGUGUGGCUAAACACUGCCUCUGCAGAAGAAGAUCAACACCUGCUUCUACAGCACUGCCUGUUUAGCCCCACCCACCGAUUCACAUACAUAGUGUGUAAAAGAGAAUAGAGGUAAACGCUGGUCUACACAGAAAUUAAACGAUAAAGAUGGCUCACAAGAUAAGAUGCUGUGCAGUGCCAAAUUGUGGAAAAACAGCCUUUGCAUUGCUUUCUAUCUGAUCCUAACAUAUAAUGUUUUAUUAACAAGGUUCAGGAGGAGCGCGUCAGAUUCUUAGCCUAAUCAACACUGGUGGAGCACAAUCAAGUUAAUCAACACCAUAGUAUAAAUACAGCUGACUUACCUCUAUCCAUUAACGGUUUAUCAGAAUCCCUCCUCCACCCCAUCUCCUCACUUCCAGUUCAUUUUGCACUUAUACGGGGAGGGGGGUACUCUAGGUUCGGGCCAUUCCCGAGCUCGGAGCCCUUCCCCGGACAUCACGCCAAAUACGCAUUAUCAUACUUCAGCUAAUUAUAUGUAAGCGUGAACUCGCGAAUAGGAUUAACUUUAUUUUUAAUGAAGUUCCAUACCGCAUCAGUAAGAACUUGGUCUUUUGUUCACUUCAUUUUAUCAUGGAUUCAUUUACAAAUAACACACAAUUCUAUUCAGGAUUUUCAGAAAGAUUGAAAUGGAAAGACAAUGCUGUGUGGACUAUAUUUUACUGACAGUAAUGCCGCAACACACAAGUCGUCCAUUGAGGAAGGAUAUGAGUUAUCAAACAUACAAUUUACUUCUGAUGAGGGGGGCUAAAAACAGGACAGAAAAUAGCCUAAUACUUCUAAAUUAUGUUUUUUGAUGUAGAAAACAUUAUAAGUGGACAUCAGAGAACAGUACAAAAUAAUAAAAAGGCAGUUCAUGACCCCUUUAAUAUAUAG
ensembl:lncRNA